UCGAGAGAUCGAGCUUUCCCUUCGGGGACAAAGUGACAGGUGGUGCAUGGUUGUCGUCAGCUCGUGUCGUGAGAUGUUGGGUUAAGUCCCGCAACGAGCGCAACCCUUAUUACUAGUUGCCAGCAUUCAGUUGGGCACUCUAGUGAGACUGCCGGUGACAAACCGGAGGAAGGUGGGGAUGACAUCAAAUCAUCAUGCCCCUUAUGACCUGGGCUACACACGUGCUACAAUGGAUGGUACAACGAGUCGCGAAGUCGCGAGGCGAAGCUAAUCUCUUAAAGCCAUUCUCAGUUCGGAUUGUAGGCUGCAACUCGCCUACAUGAAGCCGGAAUCGCUAGUAAUCGCGGAUCACAACGCCGCGGUGAAUACGUUCCCGGGUCUUGUACACACCGAG
rnacentral:rRNA from 1 species